CAACGGAGCUGCUGCUGCCGCUGCCGCUGUUGCUGUUGCUUCUUUGGAAGCUACAGUUCGCCUCAACUUGAAUUGACAGCCCAAAUUCAGUUGCAGUUUGUGUUUCGUGCGCGACGGUUCGUUAGCGGUGAAAAUACGCUUUUUGGCUCACUGCCGAUUGCAAAGCAGAGAAAGCAUUGAACGGUAGAUAGACUCCACACACUCUGGUUGAGUGGUGUUGGCAUUCGCUCCAGCGCAUGUAAAUAGUUGGAGUGCGAUUGUAUGUAGUGCGACCAGUUACGUUCGGGGUUCACUUAAGUGCAGUGCGGUUUUAGUGCAAAUUUGGCAGUGAAGCAGCAGCAGCAACUGUAGCAGCGCAGCGCCAAUACCGGCGACCGGUUGAAGUUGCGUAGCCGUAGCCGUUGCAAGUGCGUUUGGUGCGUUAGUGAACGGGUGCUUAACUGCGUGCCGCACAGUGAUUGAUUGACGUCUGUCAGAUACAGUUGCAAUCGCGUGUCGCUGACAUUGUGUACACAUCAUUACGUCUGUAGCCGAUACUAGAUUGAAUGCGUUGAGUAGACGUAGUUUGCAUUCGCAGAGGCACUGUAAAAUACUCGUUAAAUUGUGAAAAAAAAAUAAAUAUUUACAUACAUACAGACACACUCGUAAAUUGCUGCUGCUGUGCAAUGCGCGUUCGGUGUUGUGCGAAAGUGAAGUGCAUUUUAUGGUUAUUCAAUACAAUUUCUAAUGAAACCUUCAAGCGAGUGGGCGCAUAAAAAUCACUGAAAAUACACAAUGAAAAAGUGCAGAUAUGCAUAAAUAAUAAGUUAAUAUUCUGUGUAUAUAGAUGCAGAUUUUAACGCAUUAUAAAGAGAAUAUAAGUGAACACAAAACUAUUGUAAAUAAAAAGACAAUUAAUUUAUACUAAAAACGGCUUAUCGAGUCUAUAAAAGCCAGCGAAUGGCCAACGGGAAAAAAGUUGCGCGAGCUUAAACUAAGACAUUAUUUUCGAUAUGCGACAGGUGCAUUAAAGCGUGAAAAGCCUCAAAAUUUUAGUAUCAACAUUUAGCUAAUUUAUAGCCAAAACAAAAACAAAAAUAGUGCGAAAUAAAUUAGUGAUGCUAAAAUAUAAAUAACCAAUGGUUAUUGGGCAAGUUUCUACAUCAUUAAAAACACAUCAGAAUAUUUGUAUGAUAGUCGAAUAAAAAACACAAUUUUGCUACAAACAUAAAAGUGAAAAAUUAAUAGUGCCAUAAAUCAGCAAGAAUCACAAAAACAAAAUAUUUAAUGAUAUUGGAUCAUAUGGAGCAUAGAUUCAAUGGUAAGUAAAAAAAGCAAACAUCUACAGAAAAAAAAAUUAAGUUAAGAAACGGAAGGGGAAAAAACACAGAAUAGAAAAAGCUGUACAAGAUGAAGCAAGUCAUUCCCCUUAAGAGAUAUGUUACUCUACAUGAAAACAUAUGUAUACAUAUACAGACGUUGUUAUACCUUCUACAUGCUUUUUAAAGUGUAAAGUAGGGUUGAACUCUUUGCGGGCGGUGGCCUGUCGAUUGUGAACUUUUCAAAAUUACUCAUUUACGCGCAACACAGCGACUUCUAUUGAAAUUAAC